rnacentral:tRNA from 1 species
GUAUGGCUAGCUCGGUCGGUAGGGCAUUAGACUCUUAAUCUCAGGGUCGUGGGUUUGAGCCCCAUGUUGGGUG